GUAGGGAAUCUUGCGCAAUGGGCGAAAGCCUGACGCAGCCAUGCCGCGUGAAUGAUGAAGGUCUUAGGAUUGUAAAAUUCUUUCACCGGGGACGAUAAUGACGGUACCCGGAGAAGAAGCCCCGGCUAACUUCGUGCCAGCAGCCGCGGUAAUACGAAGGGGGCUAGCGUUGCUCGGAAUUACUGGGCGUAAAGGGAGCGUAGGCGGAUAGUUUAGUCAGAGGUGAAAGCCCAGGGCUCAACCUUGGAAUUGCCUUUGAUACUGGCUAUCUUGAGUAUGGAAGAGGUAUGUGGAACUCCGAGUGUAGAGGUGAAAUUCGUAGAUAUUCGGAAGAACACCAGUGGCGAAGGCGACAUACUGGUCCAUUACUGACGCUGAGGCUCGAAAGCGUGGGGAGCAAACAGGAUUAGAAACCCGUGUAUCC
rnacentral:rRNA from 1 species